rnacentral:rRNA from 1 species
AUUGAACGCUGGCGGCAGGCCUAACACAUGCAAGUCGAACGAGUGGCGGACGGGUGAGUAAUGUCUGGGAAACUGCCUGAUGGAGGGGGAUAACUACUGGAAACGGUAGCUAAUACCGCAUACCAUCAGAUGUGCCCAGAUGGGAUUAGGUAGUAGGUGGGGUAACGGCUCCCCUAGGCGACGAUCCCUAGCUGGUCUGGGCGGAUGACCAGCCACACUGGAACUGGGACACGGUCCAGACUCCUACGGGAGGCAGCAGUGGGAAAUAUUGCACAAUGGGCGCAAUCCUGAUGCAGCCAUGCCGCGUGUAGGAAGAAGGCCUUCGGGUUGUAAAGUACGUUCAGCGGGGAGGCGUUACCCGCAGAAGAAGCACCGGCUAACUACGUGCCAGCAGCCGCGGUAAUAC